rnacentral:rRNA from 1 species
UACGUAGGGGGCAAGCGUUAUCCGGAUUUACUGGGUGUAAAGGGAGCGUAGACGGCAGCGCAAGUCUGGAGUGAAAUGCCGGGGCCCAACCCCGGAACUGCUUUGGAAACUGUGCAGCUCGAGUGCAGGAGAGGUAAGCGGAAUUCCUAGUGUAGCGGUGAAAUGCGUAGAUAUCACGCAGAACUCCGAUUGCGAAGGCAGCGUACCGGCAUCCAACUGACGCUGAGGCACGAAAGCGUGGGGAUCAAACAGG